rfam:Gossypium hirsutum cultivar TM-1 chromosome 18, whole genome shotgun sequence
AAUAGGAGAAUGACAAAUCAGAUUUUUUCUCCUGAUUUUCAACCUUUUUCUCUUAAAAAAAUUAAAUUCAACUAAAAAUGCUAAAAAUCAAGAGGAAAAAAAUAUGAUUUGUCAUUCUCCUAUU